rnacentral:rRNA from 1 species
GAUGAACGCUGGCGGCGUGCUUAACACAUGCAAGUCGAACGGAAAGGCCACAGCUUGCUGUGGUACUCGAGUGGCGAACGGGUGAGUAACACGUGGGUGAUCUGCCCUGUACUUCGGGAUAAGCUUGGGAAACUGGGUCUAAUACCGGAUAGGAAUCACAUGUGGGUGUGUGGUUGGAAAGCUUUUGCGGUAUGGGAUGAGCUCGCGGCCUAUCAGCUUGUUGGUGGGGUAAUGGCCUACCAAGGCGUCGACGGGUAGCCGGCCUGAGAGGGUGUACGGCCACAUUGGGACUGAGGUACGGCGCAGACUCCUACGGGAGGCAGCAGUGGGGAAUAUUGCACAAUGGGCGCAAGCCUGAUGCAGCGACGCCGCGUGGGGGAUGACGGCCUUCGGGUUGUAAACUCCUUUCGUCAGGGACGAAGCGAAAGUGACGGUACCUGGAGAAGAAGCACCGGCUAACUACGUG